UGUCAUGACUAUUAUUAGUAUUAUUACUAUCAUUUAAUGUAGCGAGAUUUAUAUAUUAGAGAGGUGCUCUUUUGAAAAGUAAUACACAAUAUUAUUACGGUUUACCAUUCGAAAAUUUUCUUCAAAAAUGAGGGAAAAAAAAUUUACUUUUCUAAUACUCGUGUUCAUAUUCUUGAUAAAUUGUAUGAACAGUGCUGGUGAAAAUUGUGAUAAUAAGCCUUGUAAAUGGACUUCUCAUUGUGAUAGAUGUGGCAAAGAUUAUAUGUGUGACUGGUAUUUCCAUAAAUGGUACGUUUUCUGUGGAUAUUAUGAUCCACUAGACGAUAAUACUGGCUCAAUUUACGACAAAUAAAAAAUUCUGAAUGUGGAAAACCAAGACCUUCCGUUCCGGUACACCAAUCGUCACAACCCACGUCUGACACUGAAAAAAAAAU